UUCACAAACAGUGGCAGGAGUACUUCAGACUGGUGGUCCUCUUCAGCCAGAUACAGCUGGACAAGUUCCAGGCAGAAUCUCAGGAGGGUAUUCAGAAAAUAUUAGCUGUGCAGGAUGAAUCUGCAAAUUUAAUUCAACACAUCCAAGAUUUCUUCCAGAGUUUGACAGAUGGCCCAUGCGAAGAUGAUGGUUAAGCAAACAACCACUGUAUCUUGGAUGCUGAAAUAAAAGACAAGAAAAGUCACACAGUUCA
rnacentral:lncRNA from 1 species